AUGCCUGUUUAUCUAAUGUAAUUGCAAUUUUUAUGUACAGUUUCAAAAUCGUACAUUCUGCAAUUUUUUCGUAAACUUUCUCAAAGCUGUACGUGAAGUUGUGAACUUAUUAUUUAUUUGAGCUUGUGGCACUGAUGAAAAAAGUUGUCUUACAGUUGCUUUGCAUACUAUUUGCAGUGUGUAGAUUUUGACACGGUUGCAGUCUACAAACUUGGAAGGAAGUCCUCAGGGUGUGGCUUUGGUAACUUGGACGAAAAGAGUGUAUUGGUAAAUAUUCUCCAUUUGAGAUGACUUUUUUGGCAUUUGUAAUUAGUCAAUGUAUCGUCACUUGUGUUAAGGCUGCUCUGCUUGACUUCUGUCAAGCUUCACAGCAAAUCGCGUGACAAGGUUGCUGUUGUCACUGCUGUUAAGGGUUUCGACUGAACCUAGGCAGAUCAAGUGGUAGCUGCUGUAACAAGUAAGGCAUAUGCACAUGGAGGGCAAAUGGGUGAAGUCUAGUAGAUGUUUGUAGGAUUUUGCAAACUAUUUCAUCUCCAAAUCUAGUAAGGUAUCUGUGUGAUGCUUAAUAUUUUAAGGGAUUUUCUGAGCCAUUAGCAUGCAUUUUGAUAAGUAUUUUUUAAUUAUUUAUUUUAGUCAACCAUGUUGAAAUUUACGAAUUGUGUAUUUGGAUUUUGACAUGUUUAUAGUUUAUGAAAGGGUGGUUUUGAUAACUUGGACAAGAAUCUCUAGGUGAGACAGUUUUCAUCCUUAAGUAUAACAUGUCACCUGGUUUUUUGCAUUUAUUGUUAACCAAUUCCUGGCAAGAAUGAAGACAUAACACUGUGAUUGUAUUAAGGCUGCUACACGGACUGCUGAAGGAAGUAAUCGGAAUGCAUAUGGAGAGUAGACAGAGGGGCUUAGUCAAUGGAAUGGGCACAAGGAAAAAAAAUGGCAUUUGUGUUGGUUGAGUGUUGAGAAGGCUGUAAACUUAAAGAGUCAGGAAGGCUUCAGGACACUUUCUCCAUGUGGUUCUAUACUGACCAUUGGACAUACGGAUGCAAGACCAAGAGGUUUCUUUUUCCUCAUCCGUGCUAAACUCAUCUGCUUAAAUGAAAGAUUUCCACUUCUAUUGA